ACUCAGCUUGGCAGGACGCGGGCCCCGCCGCCCGGGGUUCCCAUAGACUCCGCACCCCCUGGGCGACCAGUUCCUGGGUGGCGGGCUGCUAAGGGAGGAGCUCCUUCGGAGAUAGGUGCUUUUAAACCCCGCUCCCAUUUUUUUAAGCUCCAUAUGAGCAAGGAUUCUUUUUUCAUGGUUGAAAUGGGUUGCCACAUUUAUAUUGACUCUUUUAUUGCUGUAAAAUGUACCAUUUUAACCACUUUUAAGCGUGCAGUUCUGUGGCAUUAAGUAUCUUUAUAUCGCUGGGCAACCAUCCCCACUCUCCAUCUCCGGAACGUUUUCAUUUUCUUAAACUGGAACUCUAUUCCUUACACAGUAACUCCCAAUUUCCCCCUUCCCUUUGUAAAAAUUUAUUUUUAGCUUUAAAAUGAUUCAGGUGUCAGUGAAGAUAGGAGUAUGUGAUAUAAAUUCUCCCACUCUGGGGGCUGCCGCCCCCCAGUUCUGUUCCUGAAAGUAUCAGCAAAUAGCUUUCUUCCCCUUCGGUGUUUCUUGGAGAUCAUCCCCGAUGAUCUAGACUUGCCAUAACUUGUCCACCGUGUCCCCUGUUGGUUGACAGUCGGGUUGUUACCAAUUUUUGGACACAAGCUGCUUUUUUGUGCAAGUGUGAGGUCUUCUGUGGGAGAAAUCCCUGGAAUUGACAUUGCUGGGCCCAGCAGGAUGUGCCUAAAGUAAUGUUGAUAGCUCUUGGCAAGUUCCCUCUGGAAGCUCCAUUGAUCAUUGAAGCCCAGACACAAAAGUUUUCUUGGAAUCACUUUUCGGUUUCAUGCAAAGCCACUGAAACUUUUUUGAAGAGUUGCUGGUGGAUUGCUCUGGACAGCGGUCGCGGUGUGUUCUCUGAGCCACAGAAGAAAGGUCACCCGUGAACCUCAGUGAUUUAUGCUCUGCCGUGGUAGUGAUGUGAGGGACAGCACAGACAUUCAUGACACAUCUGUUUUGCGCCAGGUGAGGAAACAGCAGGAAGACACCACCCGUGAACCUGGAAGGGGCUCUCACCAGACACUGAAUCUGCCAGCACCUUGACCUUGGACUUCCAGCCUCCAGAACUGUGAGAGCUCAGUGGUAGUUGUUUAAGCUGCCAGCCUGUGGUGGUGUUUGGCAUAGCAUCUUGAACACGCUUAGUACUACAUGUACGUGAUUUACAGAGUGAAUUACCAGAUCCCCUUCUAUAUCCCCCGCCCAGGUUCCAGCUCACCAAAGGCAGCCACUCUUAAAUCUCUUAUAUUUCUCUGUGUUUCUAAAUAAUCUGUUUCUUUUUCCUCUUUCUUUCUCUCUUUCCUUUAUUUCCGUUUUCGAUGGUGUCUGUGGAUUACCACUAAGCAGGAAUGAGGAAUUCUCUUCCAACCCCACCACAGUCCUUCCUCCCCCAUACAGUUAAAUGUUUUCAGAGUUAUGAUGGUGUAAACCAUGUUCACGGUUGAACACGUAGGCAUAAAUGCCUGACUGUGUGCAUGUGGGCAAAGGGCCCCUUAUGUAGUGGGGAACCUUGAACAAACAAGCCCCCUGAAGGAGGGCUGGACGUAGACCCCCAGGCUGACACAGUGAGCCCCAGGUCUCCUGAAUGGUCAGUCUACAUGCGUGUAUAAGAUAAACUCAUCAUAGGGCCUCUAUUUUCUUUUUAUUUCUUUCUUUUUUUGUGUGUGUGUCAGAGAGGUGUGGUUAAUGCCUGUAGGGUCAUGGUGAGGGUGAUAAACCAGACGGAGACACGUGUCCACAUGUUCUGAUUUGCUCCAUUAAAACGUGUUUCACAGGCAUGGUGGUAGGUGCAGGGAAAACGGAGUCAGCUUGAACUGUCAAGGUUGAGGGGCAACAGCGAAGCCUGGAGCAUCUCCCAUAGUCCUCAGAUUUCCUGUCAUGUUUCAAAGCAUUUUCUUUUAAUGUGGUGAAAUACACGUAACGUAAAAUUUACCAUCUUAACCGUUUUCAGGUGUGCAGUUCAGUGGCAAUAAGGGCACUCACGUUGCUGUGCGGCCAUCACCACCAUCAUCUCCAGAGCUCUCUGAUCUUCCCAAACUGACACUCUGUCCCCACUGAAUACUGACUGCCCACCCCUCCUCCAGCCCCUGGCAGCCACCCUUCUACUCUCUGUGUCUGAAUUUGUCCACUCCAGGGGCCUCAUGUAAGUGGAAUCCUAUAGGAUUUGUCCCGAUGUGUCUGGCUUAUGUCACUGAGCAUAAUGUCCUCAGGGUUCAUCCACGCGGUAGCAGGUGCCAGGGUUUCCUUCCUUUUUUAGGCUGAGUAAUAAUAUUCCGUUGUGUGGACGGACCAUUGCUUAUCCAUUUAUCCAUCAGUGGAUUUUUGCGGUGCUCCUGCCUCUUGGCUGUUGUGAGGAAUGCUGCUGUGAACAUGGGUGUCAAACAUCCCUUCAGUUCUUUUGCUUUCAGUUCUUUUGGGUGGAAUUGCCCAGUGGUAGAAUUGCUGGCUCAUAUGGUAGUUCUGUGUUUAAUGUUUUGAGGAACAUCCAGACUGUUUUCCCCGCGCCUGCACCAUUUUACAUCCCCGCCAACAGUCACGAGCUUCCCGUUUCUCUGUGUCCCCGCUGACCCUUGUUCUUUUCUUUUGCUCUUUUUCUGUGGUAGCCAUCCCAAGGGCUGUGAAGUGUGAACUGGUGUCUCAUUGCGGUUUCAUGUGCAUUCCCAGGUUUCCUUUUAUUUGUGGUGAUUUCUCAGUGUUGAUGAGAGAGCAUGUGGGAUGGCGUUUCCCAAACGUUGGCAUGCGUACCAGUCACCCAGGGAGUGUGCUGCAAUGCAGGUUCUGAGUCAGGAGGUCUGGGAGUCUGCCUGUGUGUCCCAGGUGUCGACGGCAGAAGCUGCUGGGUGAGGGCCACACCGUGAGUAGCAAAGACAGAUAACACCGUGCACAGGGCCCCUGCAGUCAGGCCAACCCAGCGUGGGGGUAACUUUCCUAGCCGCAGAGAGCAUGUUUCCUACAGCAGGGCAGUGCUCCCUGAAGGGACUUAGUGGAUGGGAGGUGACUUGAAAAGAUGAUAUGUGUUUGUACGUAGAUUUUUCUUUAUUGCCCUUUCGUUUCAAUUCAGUCCACUCUGGAGAUCCUCAGCAGCAAGGUUAUUCUGGAACCGGGAACGUGUGAAACACCAGGGAGUGAGGCAGUAGGAGAUGGAAAGGGAGGGAGUCUCCUCUUUCGGGGGAGAUUACCUUGGUGGGGGAGGAUUCGCUACUUACAGAAAAGGUGACAUUGCAGAGGUGAUGAGGUGCAGGUAGACUCCACCGCGAGGUAGUACACGUGGGUGAUGCAGACGGUGUGGUCCAGGGCAAGCGAAUGGAAGAGGA